rnacentral:misc_RNA from 1 species
AGACUUGUUAUUAGUCAAGCAUACUAACAAUUAUUUAGACUUGGGUAUAAGGCUUGCCAACAUUCUAAGGGUGAUUAUAUUUGAUAUGUAAUAAAGUAGUAUACUUUGUUAAGAUUGUGAAUGUAAGGCUUGAAAGAAGCAAAUUUCAAUUAAUCUCCAUCUGGAUGGACCAAGUUUAGCAAGUUCUUAAGGAUGAUUUUAAAUUGAAUGUAAUCGAGUCUUGUACUUUGAAAUAGCAUUUCAUGCUUACAUGAACAAGUGUUUAGACUAUGUCCAAUAGAAAACUAAAGA